rnacentral:lncRNA from 1 species
CUAAUGCUUAUGAUGAAACUGCAUGAUGGAUCUUAGGGUCAAAAUUGGGGUCUUACAGGGUCAUCUUUAAUGAAUCAAAUAUAGACUUAGUUGUGCCUCUAUUUGUGAUCUUCUCAUACUCAGAAUAUGAUAUAGCAUUUAGUAUAAUGAUUCUAGAUUUAUGAUGAUUCUUGUAAUCUUUCUUUUGUCGAUAAGUCAUCACUCUUUUUUCUAACUUGUUACCACCAUUAUCUAUAGGAUGAGUGUAGUCAUC